rnacentral:rRNA from 1 species
ACCGGCGAUACCCGAAUGGGGAAACCCAGUGUGAUUCGUCACACUAUCAUUAACUGAAUCCAUAGGUUAAUGAGGCGAACCGGGGGAACUGAAACAUCUAAGUACCCCGAGGAAAAGAAAUCAACCGAGAUUCCCCCAGUAGCGGCGAGCGAACGGGGAGGAGCCCAGAGCCUGAAUCAGCAUGUGUGUUAGUGGAAGCGUCUGGAAAGGCGCGCGAUACAGGGUGACAGCCCCGUACACAAAAGCGCAUGUGCUGUGAGCUCGAUGAGUAGGGCGGGACACGUGGUAUCCUGUCUGAAUAUGGGGGGACCAUCCUCCAAGGCUAAAUACUCCUGACUGACCGAUAGUGAACCAGUACCGUGAGGGAAAGGCGAAAAGAACCCCGGCGAGGGGAGUGAAAAAGAACCUGAAACCGUGUACGUACAAGCAGUGGGAGCACCCUUUGGGUGUGACUGCGUACCUUUUGUAUAAUGGGUCAGCGACUUAUAUUCUGUAGCAAGGUUAACCGAAUAGGGGAGCCGGAGGGAAACCGAGUCUUAAUUGGGCGUUAAGUUGCAGGGUAUAGACCCGAAACCCGGUGAUCUAGCCAUGGGCAGGUUGAAGGUUGGGUAACACUAACUGGAGGACCGAACCGACUAAUGUUGAAAAAUUAGCGGAUGACCUGUGGCUGGGGGUGAAAGGCCAAUCAAACCGGGAGAUAGCUGGUUCUCCCCGAAAGCUAUUUAGGUAGCGCCUCGUGAAUUCAUCUCCGGGGGUAGAGCACUGUUUCGGCUAGGGGGCCAUCCCGGCUUACCAACCCGAUGCAAACUGCGAAUACCGGAGAAUGUUAUCACGGGAGACACACGGCGGGUGCUAACGUCCGUCGUGAAGAGGGAAACAACCCAGACCGCCAGCUAAGGUCCCAAAGUCAUGGUUAAGUGGGAAACGAUGUGGGAAGGCCCAGACAGCCAGGAUGUUGGCUUAGAAGCAGCCAUCAUUUAAAGAAAGCGUAAUAGCUCACUGGUCGAGUCGGCCUGCGCGGAAGAUGUAACGGGGCUAAACCAUGCACCGAAGCUGCGGC